GUGAGUAGAGUAGAGUAGAGUCAAAUUAGGUUGAUCCACAGAAAAGCAAAUAAGGGUUCUUGGAAGAAUAUAGGAAAUGUAGAACUGGUAGUUCCGGCUGACCUGAGUGUAAAUUGCUUCAUUAACUUUGCUGGUAAAUUCUUUUCCUGGGGAUCUGGUUCUCUGGGUCUGCUAUUUACCAACUGUGUGGUCUUGAGGAACUUAGACUCUUUGAGUCUCAAAUUUCUCAUAUGUAAAAUGGAGCGAGAAUGCUAUUCUACCUACUUUAUCAGUUUUGAUUUUCAAAAAAGGGAAUAUUUGAAUAGGGUAGCUUUAGUUUGGUCAUAGCAUUUCCAUGAAUAAGUGAGGGUAAAAAAGCAAUGCUGAUUUGUGGUUGCUGGUCAUGUUUUAACUAAUGCAACAUUUUGGAACCUACAAUUAAGCUUGAACUCAUCUUCAUUGAGGUAAUGCUUUGUGUUUUCACCUUAAAAAUUAAUGAUUACCUAAAAUAUUGAGUGAAUGCUUUCCUUAUCAAAAUUCUGAAACUGUUUCAGUGCAUUAGUCCAAGUCCGUAGUAUAAUUAUGCAGGCCUUUGUAGUUUGUUUUUGAAGACUAGAAUUCAUCGUAUGAGUAGUUUGCUAGAAUUCAUAUCACACACAAAGUAGAACAUUUUAAGGAAACUCUCUGAAGAUCUGGUGGAAGCUAUGAAUUCUCUCCCAAGGAAAGUGUAUAUUUAUGUGUAUGCAUGUGUACUUGAACAUUCUUUUCCCAGAGCAUUCCUAAAGACAGGUAGAAAGCUGACAACAGAGUUGAGUAGGCCUUUGACAGGCAAAUGGCUCUUCUCAAAAAAACUGAGGGACCAGCUUGAAUCUGGAAACCAGGAAGGAGUCCCUGAAGCAAAGUCUUUUCCUACUCUGCUUAUUUUUCACUGACUUGGAGGGAAGAAUUGACUACAUACACAUCAAAUUUGCAGAGAUAGAAAUAAAGAAGAGAGAGUUCUAGAAUCAAAUCCAACCUUGACAGGUUGCAAUAAUGCGCCAAUAUAAACAUGGUGAGACUUAAUAGGGAUAGAUAUGAAGUCCAAAUGUCCAAUUGUGGAAGUACACGAUGGUAAAGAUGAACUUUAACAGAAGCUGGAGGUUCCAGUCGAGUGCAACCACGUGUGAGUCAACAGAGAUUUGCAGCUGCCAAAAUAACUAAUUAAGCUUUAAGACUGCAUAGAUAAAGCCAUUACAGUGAAAUGAUUCAGUAUCCUCUGCUAUGCUCUGUUGGACAUGAUAAUACCUGUAAUGCUCUGGCCAGUUUGGGCUGCCAAGAAUUUGGUGGAAUAUAAUGAGAGAAGAAACAACCAGGGGAUGAAGAGAGUCUUACUAACCAGAAGCCAUAGGUGUUUCACCUGAAGAAUGGGCGGCUUUGAGGCAACAUGAUGAAGAAAUUAAAAGUGUUAGUUGCUCCGUUGUGUCUGACUCUUUGUGACCCCAUGGACUAAUAAUAACUGCCGGCUAAGUCAUGUCCGAAUCUUUUUUUGAGACUCCAUGGACUGUAGCCUGCCAGGCUCCUAUGUGCAUGGGAUUUUCCAGGCAAGAAUACUGGAGUGGGCUGCCAUUUCCUUUUCCAGGAGAUCUUCCUGACCAGGGGUGAAACACAGGUCUCCCCUAUUGUGGGCAGCAUCUUUACCGUUUGAGUCAUC
ensembl:lncRNA